UGGCACCCGACCUAUCUGCAAAACCCUUCUCUCUCUCAACACCCCUCCCCCCCCAUCUCUGCAUGUAUCUGUAAGAAUGAAUGGAAGAAUCGAUCUUCAGGGCUAUGCGAUCAUCUAUAAAGCCGUCCCCAAACGCAAAGCUGCAGAAGGAAGGCAUCUUUGAAUGACCAACACGAUGAUUCAACAGACAAGUCUUCAGCGAUGAACUGGGUCAUUGAGGUUCAAGCAGAUUUGCAUACCAGAUUCCCUCGUUUGGUCGAACUAGUGACCAAGAUCACAUGUCACCGUUGGAUUUCUUCUGGUCAUUUUGUGUUUGCAUAUGCUGGUGCAUGAUGAUGCUGUCAUUCUUGAUAGAUGCAAAUGAAGAAGAAUACCAUCCAAAGUGCUGGAUGGAGAGCAUUCUCAUUUGCACACAGGUUAUUUGAGCAAUAGUUAGCUUUUCCAGAUGAUCAAGCUUUUGGAAUCCAAGAUAACAUACUUCAACGCACUUCUUCUUCAACUUGCUUUGUGAGUUUCGUCCAUCACAAGAGCGAAGAGGAAAUGCAUGUUGCAUAAAUUGCUCAGAAAAGAUCUUUGACAGGGGAAGUUAAAAUUUUUUUGAGAGGUUUAUGCAUUUUGUAUUUGCCAAAGCAUGAAUGGGGAGAAGGAAGCAAAUUAUUUGGUAAAUAGGAAUGGAUUGAGUGGACGGAUGGUGGUAACACUCUCUCUCUCUUAUCCACUAAAGUGUCAAUGCCUCAUGCUUUUGCGAAAUGCAUGUUGCAUAUAUUGCUCGGAAAAGAUCUCACAGGGGAAGUUAAGAUUUUUUUGAGAGGUUUUUGCAUUUUGUAUUUGCCAAAGCAUGAAGGGUGAAGGAAGCGAAUUAUUUGGUAAAUAGGCAUUGAUUGAGUGGACGGAUGGUGGUAACACUCUCUUUCUCUCUCAUCCAUUAUAGUGUUAUUGGUCUCAUGCUUUCAGGAAAUGCAUGUUGCAUAAAUUGCUCAGAAAAUAUCUUUGAUAGGGGAAGUUAAAGUAGUCGACAGAAACUACACACUUUACCCUUUAAAUUUUGGUAAAGCUCUAGCAAAAAGACUUUGCUUUUACCAUCCAAAAUCCUUUAGUGACAUUUGGAUAAAGCAUAACCUUACAAAAAUUUGGGAAUUUAUUUUCUACACUUUGUAAAACUUGUUUUACACGCUUCAAAAUAGAAGAUUUGGUUACACCACUAUCAUUUGACUCUUCAUUCAUGAUGUUUCUUUGCCUUAUGAUUUAUUGAAAUUGUAGGUAAAUGAGGACAAAUGUCAAAGAGUCAAAUUGAUUAUGAUGAAACUUAGUCUUUUGUUAUACAACAAGUAGAACAAGUUUUUUAAAGUGUAUAAUAAAUUCUCAAGUUUCAGUAAAGUUAUGUUUUACUUAAAAAUCCUUAUGGGAUUUUGGAUAAUAAGUUCAAAUUCAUGUUGCAAAUAUAGUAGUUCAUGCUAACAACUUGAAAUUGUCGUGCGACAGAUUUUUUUGAGAGGUUUAUGCAUUUUGUAUUUGCCAAAGCAUGAAUGGGGAGAAGGAAGCAAAUUAUUUGGUAAAUAGGAAUGGAUUGAGUGGACGGAUUGUGGUAACAGUCUCUCUCUCUUCUCCACUAUAGUGAUAUUGGCCUCAUGCUUUCAGGAAAUGCAUGUUGCAUAAAUUGCUCAAAAAAGAUCUUUGACAGGGGAACUUAAGAUUUUUUUGAGAGGUUUAUGCAUUUUGUAUUUGCCAAAGCAUGAAUGGGGAGAAGGAAGCAAAUUAUUUGUUAACGGAUUGAGUGGACGAAUGAUGGCAAUGUGAGUUUUGCAUCUAGCUUUCCUGGCUUGGUAUUGUCAUGAGAGAAGCCUAAAGCCAAAUGAUGAUUCAUAUGCACAACUCACAUGACCAGUCCAUAAUGCAUAAUUAUCCUAAGUUCGUUCUUAUCCCAACUAUAAUUAUCCUAAGAAGUAAGUUCUUAUCUCCAUGAUGCAUGCUUAUCUAAGAGGAUUUUGUUGGCAUAGACUGGUAGGAUUAUAUUUAUUGGCAUCACUUUCAUUGGAAUUUCAGUUAUGGUGUUUCAUCAAGGCAUAGGAACACUCAUUCUGGGUUUUCUUUUCCUGGUCUUUCUGCAUUGAAAAGUUACUUUUUCAUCCCCAUUCUGCCGGGUUUAUGGAGGGAAAGGAACAUGAAAGGCCAGCUUCAGUUAAGAGAAAGGAACAUGAUGUAAUGUUACAGAUUUGGACAGGGAAAAUUCUAUGUGAAAAAUGUUACAAUGUUGAACAAUAAUUUUUUAAUCUGGGUGGUCAGUGAUAGUUAUAGUUUAACAAAUAGAGAAGUAAAAUUGAUUGCCUACCCUUUAAUUGAAGUUCAAAAAUCCCUAUGUAGCCCAACACCAUAUUUAACACAAAAAAAAAAAAAGCCCUAGACAAUAUUUUAAUUUGGAUUUUUGAAAUGAAGUGUCUUGGAUACAUUGAUAUAUUCUUUUGAUUUUGAACUGUAUGUGUUUUGAGUUUUUUGUAUUCCAUGAAAUUGUUAUAAUUUUAUCAUGUGUCUAUUAAUUUUAUCA